rnacentral:rRNA from 1 species
CGCGUAGGCGGCUUGUCGGGUCUGAUGUGAAAGCCCGGGGCUCAACCCCCGGAAGUGCAUUGGAAACUGGCAAGCUUGAGUUCGGAAGAGGAGGGCAAAAUUCCCGGUGUAGGGGUGGAAUCCGUAGAUAUCGGGAGGAAAAUCAGUGGCGAAGGCAGCCCUCUGGUACGAAACUGACGCUAAGGCGCGAAAGCGUGGGGAGCAAACA